rnacentral:rRNA from 1 species
UGGAUUACGAUCCGUAGCUGGUCUGAGAGGACGACCAGCCACACUGGAACUGAGACACGGUCCAGACUCCUACGGGAGGCAGCAGUGGGGAAUUUUGGACAAUGGGGGCAACCCUGAUUCAGCCAUUCCGCGUGAGUGAAGAAGGCCUUCGGGUUGUAAAGCUCUUUCGGCAGGAACGAAACGGCGGGCUCUAACAUAGCCUGUCAAUGACGGUACCUGAAGAAGAAGCACCGGCUAACUACGUGCCAGCAGCCGCGGUAAUACGUAGGGUGCGAGCGUUAAUCGGAAUUACUGGGCGUAAAGCGUGCGCAGGCGGCUUUGUAAGACAGGUGUGAAAUCCCCGGGCUUAACCUGGGAACUGCGCUUGUGACUGCAAGGCUUGAGUGCGGCAGAGGGGGGUGGAAUUCCACGUGUAGCAGUGAAAUGCGUAGAGAUGUGGAGGAACACCGAUGGCGAAGGCAGCCCCCUGGGUCGACACUGACGCUCAUGCACGAAAGCGUGGGUAGCAAACAGGAUUAGAUACCCUGGUAGUCCACGCCCUAAACGAUGCCAACUAGGUGUUGGGGAAGGAGACUUCCUUAGUACCGUAGCUA